rnacentral:tRNA from 2 species
GGAAAGAUGGUGUAAUGGAAGCACAUCUGCAUUGCAUGCAGAAGGCGUUGGUUCAAACCCAAUUCUUUCCC